UACGGAGGAUCCGAGCGUUAUCCGGAUUUAUUGGGUUUAAAGGGUGCGCAGGCGGAAGAUUAAGUCGGCGGUGAAAUUUUGCAGCUCAACUGUAAAAGUGCCAUCGAUACUGGUUUUCUUGAGUGUGGAUGAAGUAGGCGGAAUUUGUGGUGUAGCGGUGAAAUGCAUAGAUAUCACGAGGAACUCCGAUUGCGCAGGCAGCUUACUAGGCCAUAACUGACGCUCAGGCACGAAGGCGUGGGGAUCAAACAGGAUUAGA
rnacentral:rRNA from 1 species